UUAAGCGACUAAGCGUACACGGUGGAUGCCCUGGCAGUCAGAGGCGAUGAAGGACGUGCUAAUCUGCGAAAAGCGUCGGUAAGGUGAUAUGAACCGUUAUAACCGGCGAUGUCCGAAUGGGGAAACCCAGUGCAAUUCGUUGCACUAUCGUUAACUGAAUACAUAGGUUAACGAGGCGAACCGGGGGAACUGAAACAUCUAAGUACCCCGAGGAAAAGAAAUCAACCGAGAUUCCCCCAGUAGCGGCGAGCGAACGGGGAGCAGCCCAGAGUCUGAAUCAGCUUGUGUGUUAGUGGAACGGUCUGGAAAGUCCGACGGUACAGGGUGAUAGUCCCGUACACCAAAAUGCACAGGCUGUGAACUCGAAGAGUAGGGCGGGACACGUGGUAUCCUGUCUGAAUAUGGGGGGACCAUCCUCCAAGGCUAAAUACUCCUGACUGACCGAUAGUGAACCAGUACCGUGAGGGAAAGGCGAAAAGAACCCCGGCGAGGGGAGUGAAAAAGAACCUGAAACCGUGUACGUACAAGCAGUGGGAGCACCUUCGGGUGUGACUGCGUACCUUUUGUAUAAUGGGUCAGCGACUUAUAUUCUGUAGCAAGGUUAACCGUAUAGGGGAGCCGCAGGGAAACCGAGUCUUAACUGGGCGUUAAGUUGCAGGGUAUAGACCCGAAACCCGGUGAUCUAGCCAUGGGCAGGUUGAAGGUUGGGUAACACUAACUGGAGGACCGAACCGACUAAUGUUGAAAAAUUAGCGGAUGACUUGUGGCUGGGGGUGAAAGGCCAAUCAAACCGGGAGAUAGCUGGUUCUCCCCGAAAGCUAUUUAGGUAGCGCCUCGUGAACUCAUCUUCGGGGGUAGAGCACUGUUUCGGCUAGGGGGUCAUCCCGACUUACCAACCCGAUGCAAACUACGAAUACCGAAGAAUGUUAUCACGGGAGACACACGGCGGGUGCUAACGUCCGUCGUGAAGAGGGAAACAACCCAGACCGCCAGCUAAGGUCCCAAAGUCAUGGUUAAGUGGGAAACGAUGUGGGAAGGCACAGACAGCCAGGAUGUUGGCUUAGAAGCAGCCAUCAUUUAAAGAAAGCGUAAUAGCUCACUGGUCGAGUCGGCCUGCGCGGAAGAUGUAACGGGGCUAAACCAUGCACCGAAGCUGCGGCAGCGACACUAUGUGUUGUUGGGUAGGGGAGCGUUCUGUAAGCCUGCGAAGGUGUGCUGUGAGGGUUGCUGGAGGUAUCAGAAGUGCGAAUGCUGACAUAAGUAACGAUAAAGCGGGUGAAAAGCCCGCUCGCCGGAAGACCAAGGGUUCCUGUCCAACGUUAAUCGGGGCAGGGUGAGUCGACCCCUAAGGCGAGGCCGAAAGGCGUAGUCGAUGGGAAACAGGUUAAUAUUCCUGUACUUGGUGUUACUGCGAAGGGGGGACGGAGAAGGCUAUGUUAGCCGGGCGACGGUUGUCCCGGUUUAAGCAUGUAGGCUGGUUGUCCAGGCAAAUCCGGAUAAUCAAGGCUGAGGUGUGAUGACGAGGCACUACGGUGCUGAAGUAACAAAUGCCCUGCUUCCAGGAAAAGCCUCUAAGCAUCAGGUAACAUCAAAUCGUACCCCAAACCGACACAGGUGGUCAGGUAGAGAAUACCAAGGCGCUUGAGAGAACUCGGGUGAAGGAACUAGGCAAAAUGGUGCCGUAACUUCGGGAGAAGGCACGCUGGUGUGUAGGUGAAGUCCCUGCGGAUGGAGCUGAGACCAGUCGAAGAUACCAGCUGGCUGCAACUGUUUAUUAAAAACACAGCACUGUGCAAACACGAAAGUGGACGUAUACGGUGUGACGCCUGCCCGGUGCCGGAAGGUUAAUUGAUGGGGUUAUCCGUAAGGAGAAGCUCUUGAUCGAAGCCCCGGUAAACGGCGGCCGUAACUAUAACGGUCCUAAGGUAGCGAAAUUCCUUGUCGGGUAAGUUCCGACCUGCACGAAUGGCGUAAUGAUGGCCAGGCUGUCUCCACCCGAGACUCAGUGAAAUUGAACUCGCUGUGAAGAUGCAGUGUACCCGCGGCAAGACGGAAAGACCCCGUGAACCUUUACUAUAGCUUGACACUGAACAUUGAGCCUUGAUGUGUAGGAUAGGUGGGAGGCUUUGAAGCGUGGACGCCAGUCUGCGUGGAGCCAACCUUGAAAUACCACCCUUUAAUGUUUGAUGUUCUAACGUUGGCCCCUGACCGGGGUUGCGGACAGUGUCUGGUGGGUAGUUUGACUGGGGCGGUCUCCUCCCAAAGCGUAACGGAGGAGCACGAAGGUUAGCUAAUCCUGGUCGGACAUCAGGAGGUUAGUGCAAUGGCAUAAGCUAGCUUGACUGCGAGCGUGACGGCGCGAGCAGGUGCGAAAGCAGGUCAUAGUGAUCCGGUGGUUCUGAAUGGAAGGGCCAUCGCUCAACGGAUAAAAGGUACUCCGGGGAUAACAGGCUGAUACCGCCCAAGAGUUCAUAUCGACGGCGGUGUUUGGCACCUCGAUGUCGGCUCAUCACAUCCUGGGGCUGAAGUAGGUCCCAAGGGUAUGGCUGUUCGCCAUUUAAAGUGGUACGCGAGCUGGGUUUAGAACGUCGUGAGACAGUUCGGUCCCUAUCUGCCGUGGGCGCUGGAGAAUUGAGGGGGGCUGCUCCUAGUACGAGAGGACCGGAGUGGACGCAUCACUGGUGUUCGGGUUGUCAUGCCAAUGGCACUGCCCGGUAGCUAAAUGCGGAAGAGAUAAGUGCUGAAAGCAUCUAAGCACGAAACUUGCCCCGAGAUGAGUUCUCCCUGAGACUUUAAGUCUCCUGAAGGAACGUUAAAGACGAUGACGUUGAUAGGCCGGGUGUGUAAGCGCAGCGAUGCGUUGAGCUAACCGGUACUAAUGAACCGUGAGGCUUAACCUU
rnacentral:rRNA from 1 species